rnacentral:rRNA from 1 species
AACGAACGCUGGCGGCAUGCCUAACACAUGCAAGUCGAACGAGACCUUCGGGUCUAGUGGCGCACGGGUGCGUAACGCGUGGGAACCUGCCCUUAGGUUCGGAAUAACUCCCCGAAAGGGGUGCUAAUACCGGAUAAUGUCUUCGGACCAAAGAUUUAUCGCCUUUGGAUGGGCCCGCGUUGGAUUAGCUAGUUGGUAGGGUAAAAGCCUACCAAGGCGACGAUCCAUAGCUGGUCUGAGAGGAUGAUCAGCCACACUGGGACUGAGACACGGCCCAGACUCCUACGGGAGGCAGCAGUGGGGAAUAUUGGACAAUGGGCGAAAGCCUGAUCCAGCAAUGCCGCGUGAGUGAUGAAGGCCGUAGGGUUGUAAAGCUCUUUUAACCGGGAUGAUAAUGACAGUACCGGGAGAAUAAGCGCCGGCUAACUCCGUG